CUUCCUGGGUUGCAAGGCACUUCCGCUCCUUCAAUACUUUCUCUCUCUUCUCCAAAGGGUACCCUGUUCUCAGUGCAAUGGUUGGCUGCAAGCAUCAGCCUCGGUGUUUGUCAUGAUCUCGGAGAGCCUCUCAGGGGACAGCUCUAUCAGGCUCCUGUGAGCAUGCACUUGUUGGCCUCAGCAAUGUUGUUUAGGUUUGGGGGCUGUAUGUAUGUGGGCUGCAUCCCCAGGUGGUUUAGGCUCAGAAGGGCUAUUCCUUCAGUCUCUGCUCUAAACUUAAUCUCCAUAUCAUGUCCUAUGAAUAUUUUUGUUUCCCCUUUUAAGACAGACCAUCCUCACUUGGAUCAUCCUUCUAUUUGAACUUAAAGCGAGCCCACAUCGGAAUGACUGUGGCUCCAGACAGAGUGCCCAGGCCUGAGAAUUUAAAUUAUGAUCCUUGAAUCCCUAACGGAGGUUGUGGCAAUGGCAGGCUGCCCUCAUCUUCUCAGUGAACUGGACUUCGUGGAUGUUCUCAGGACCUUGGAGAGGGCCAGAGAAGCUGCUUUGUUCUGCAGGAUGUUUCUGACUCUUGAAGGUUCUGGAUGAAUUCCAGGUGAAUGGAUACCUUUACCUCACAGAGAGGGAAAUCAAGAGGCUCGAUUAUUGCACCAGCAUCUGGGGUCUGUGGGACCCGUGGGGAGGGCUCUGUCCUUUGUCAGCAGUGGUGGGGACACUGGACACUGCAGUCAGAGCCUGAGCAGUUCCUGUCCCACUCAGAGACCUCCAUUCAGGUAAAGCUGGAUCCCCUACUACACCACAGGGGGAAAUCGGUGAGUUUAUUACACAGAGAAGGUGACUGUCACUGUUUCUGAUUUGAAUUGGGCAUUUAGAGAGAGCUUUAUACACAAUUCUGUGGCUUUUCAGGCACCAUUGUUCAAAAGAUAUAAUUUACAGCAAGGUUGAAGGAUAAAGUGAAGUUUAAAAAUUAGGUAAAAUAUAGUGAUUGAAUGUACUUGAUUUUAUUUAAAGUUUUUUUGCUUUAUUUUGUUAUUUUAUAUGUACCUGCACCUAUGUGCAUGUGCUAUAUGCAUACGGUACCCUUAGAGAUCGGAAGAGGGUGUCUGAUCCAUUCAAACUGGACUUAUGGAUGGUUGUGAGCUGCCACGUGGGUGCUGGGAAUGGAACUCGGGACCUCGGCAAGAGCAGUCAUUGCUCUAUAGGACUGACUCUCUAGCCCGUGACUUGUUUCUCUUUGGUGAUUUUCUUUUUGAAAAUAAAGUUCCAAGAUGGUUUUAUGAGUUACAUCGUUUGGUCUAGGGAUGAGACAGGAUUAGUAACAGCGUGAAACCAGAGGCCAUACACUUCCUGACCCUCAGUAAGGACAGUUUCAAUUGUGUGUGUGUGUGCACACACGCAUGCACAUGCAUGCAUAUUGUUUGCUGAUUCCCUUGGAGGCCAGAAGAGGACCUCAGGUUCCAGGAGCUGAUUUACAGGCAGCUGUGAGCUGCUUAAGUGGAUCCUAAUAACAGAAUUUGGGUUCCCUGUGAGUUUGGAACAUGCUCUUAACUGAUGGGCUCUCUCUGCAGGCCCAUGUGUUUCUCAGCCUCGACUGAGAUAUCUUUAGGAAAACGUGCACUAUCUCUGCAGGCAUCCUUGGCUGGGUCGGUUGCAUUGAUGUUUCUGGUGCUCAGCCAUCAGGAGACAAAGGCUAGACCCCAGAAGAUAGCUUCUCUCCAUUUUAGCGUCACCCUUAACUCUCCAGUUCCUCUAUCCUGUCUUGUUUGAACCACAGUAACAAUGCUGCUUCCUCCAGGACUCUGGAGGUGUGUUCUUGUCAGUUGAGCAAGGACGUGAGGCUAUGAAUAAAGGUCAGUGUGACUCAGUGCCUUUUGCUGUACUACGUAUGAAAUGUUUUGGCUGGAAUUAGGGCUGGGGCUGGUUCAGGUGUGUAAAUUAGAGACAGCCUCAAAGUCUCUUGAGUUGAGCCUCUUUUAUAACCUUAGAGGCUCUCUGGGGAGCACGUCACCAACCACACCACCUUUACCCCUGAGCCGAUGGCUGAACACAGGCUUUGGGGCCAAGAUACUUCUGCAAGCUGUGAGACUGUGGAGUCAAACUGCUGUCGGGUCCUCAGCUUCCCAGCUUCUGUCACAUGCAGCUCUUCAGCUUGACAUCACAGACUGGAGGGGAAGAGAGCUGGGAGCUCAUUACCAUGGGUGUCUUGGAAAGUUUGGGGGCGAGUUCUGCAUUAAAUAAACCUCAUUUGAGUAAUG
ensembl:lncRNA